GUCUCUGAAGUGCAAUGUAUAGCUCGUUGGAUUUCUAAUCCAAAGGUAAUGGGUUCGAAUCCUACCUGGGAUG